CGGGGCGUAGCGCAGCCCGGUAGCGCACUUGACUGGGGGUCAAGGGGUCGCAGGUUCAAGUCCUGUCGCCCCGACCA
rnacentral:tRNA from 14 species